GUUCGUGUUGCUUAUUCUUUAGUUUUCUAUUUUGUGUCAAGUGUUUUAUUGUUUGUUUUUUUGUUUUCUUUCAUUUUAAGCCAGGCGUUGUCAGUUUAUUUUCGAUUUAUGAGUUUGACUGUCCCUCUGAUACCUCUCGUCCCUCUUAUAAUUAAAUUAGGAAAAUCUGGUAUAUCCACCACCCCAGUAGCCAAUACUUCGGUACUGGCAUGAAAAUACGUUUUUUUUGUGUUAUUAAAAUUUACUGUUACAAAAUG
rnacentral:lncRNA from 1 species